rnacentral:rRNA from 1 species
UACGUAGGGUGCAAGCGUUAAUCGGAAUUACUGGGCGUAAAGCGUGCGCAGGCGGCUUUGCAAGACAGAUGUGAAAUCCCCGGGCUUAACCUGGGAACUGCAUUUGUGACUGCAAGGCUGGAGUGCGGCAGAGGGGGAUGGAAUUCCGCGUGUAGCAGUGAAAUGCGUAGAGAUGUGGAGGAACACCGAUGGCGAAGGCAGCCCCCUGGGUCAAAACUGACGCUCAUGCACGAAAGCGUGGGGAGCAAACAGG